GAUGAACGCUGGCGGCGUGCCUAAUACAUGCAAGUCGAGCGAACAGAUGAGGAGCUUGCUCCUCUGACGUUAGCGGCGGACGGGUGAGUAACACGUGGAUAACCUACCUAUAAGACUGGGAUAACUUCGGGAAACCGGAGCUAAUACCGGAUAAUAUAUUGAACCGCAUGGUUCAAUAGUGAAAGACGGCUUUGCUGUCACUUAUAGAUGGAUCCGCGCCGCAUUAGCUAGUUGGUAAGGUAACGGCUUACCAAGGCAACGAUGCGUAGCCGACCUGAGAGGGUGAUCGGCCACACUGGAACUGAGACACGGUCCAGACUCCUACGGGAGGCAGCAGUAGGGAAUCUUCCGCAAUGGGCGAAAGCCUGACGGAGCAACGCCGCGUGAGUGAUGAAGGGCUUCGGAUCGUAAAACUCUGUUAUUAGGGAAGAACAAAUGUGUAAGUAACUAUGCACGUCUUGACGGUACCUAAUCAGAAAGCCACGGCUAACUACGU
rnacentral:rRNA from 1 species